CAUGGCUUAAUCUUUGAGACAAGCAUAUGUUACUGGCAGGAUCAACCAGGUAGCCCUCCACACGAAUGGGUUCUGUGACCACACGUAAUCUGAAGCCUAUUUUAACAGCGAUGCCAAUUCUUUGACCAGCAGGUUCAUGUGAGUGUAGAAUCAACUUUUGAUGGUACUUAAGGCAUCUACCAUGGUGACCACUGGUAAUGGGGAAUCAGGGUUUGAUUCCAGAGAGGGAGCCUGAGAAACGGCUACCCAGCCAAGGAAGGCAGCAGGCGCGCAAAUUACCCAUUUCCGACUCAGAGAGGUAGUGACGAAAUAUAACAAUCCAGGUCUCUUUCGAGGCCCUUUAAUUGGAUUGAGCAUAUCCUAAACCCAUGGGCAAGGACCCACUGGAGGGCAAAUCUGGUGCCAGGAGCGAUGGUAAUUCCAGCUCCAAUUGCGUAUGAAGGUUAAAAAACUUGUAGUUGAAUCUCAGGAGUGGGCUGGUCGUCAGCCGCGAGACGAGCCACCACCUAUCCUGGACCCUGCCUCCCUGCGCCCCCCGGAUGCCCUUAACUGGGUGUCCAGUCACUUCAAAGCCCGGAGCGUUUAAUAAAAAAAAAUAGGGUGUUCAAAGCAGGCUGCUUGUCGCAGCUGAAUACUGCAGCUAGGAAUAAUGGAAUAGGACUCUGGUUAACUUUUGUGGGUUUCUGGAACCCAGGGCCAUGAUUAAGAGGGACGGCGGGGGCAUUCGUAUUGCCAUUCGUAUAGAUGUGAAAUUCGUGGACCGGCGCAAGACGGAUGAAAGCGAAAGCAUUUGCCAAGAAUAUUUUCUUUAAUCAAAAACGAAAGUCGGAGGUUCAAAGACCAUCAGAUACCAUCGUAGUUUCGACCGUAAAUGAUGCUGAUCCGGCCUUAUUCCCAUGACUUACUGGGCAACGUGCCGGUCUUUGGGUUCAACACGGGAAACCUCACCCGGCCACUGAAAGGAUUGACAGAUUGAUAGCUCUUUUCUCGAUUCUGUGGGUGGUGGUGCAUGGCCAUUGUUAGUUGGUGGAGCGAUUUGUCUGGUUCAUUCUGAUAACUAAUGAGACUCCGGCUUGUUAAAUAGUUACACGGCCCCGUGCAGUCGGCAUUCAACUUCUUAGAGGGACAAGUGGCAUUUAGCCACGCGAGAUGGAGCAAUAACUGGUCUGUGAUGCCCUUAGAUGUCCGGGGCAGCACACGUGCCACAAUGGGCAGAUCAUCUUGUGUCUGAACCCCGAUCAUGAUCGGGACUGGGGAUUGAAACUAUUUCCCAUCAAAAAGGACUUCCCAGUAAGCGCGGGUCAUAAGCUUGUGGGCCCUGGUGGAGCGCCGAGAAGAUGAUCAAACUUGACUAUUGGAAGUAAAAGUCCUAACAAGGUUUCCUUAGGUGAACCUGCAGAAGGAUCAUUA
rnacentral:rRNA from 1 species